GAUGGUGAUUAUAGCAGCGGUGUUCACCUCUUCCCAUUCCGAACAGAGAAGUUAAGUCCGCCUGCGCCGAUGGUACUGCUAAGGUGGGAGAGUAGGUAGUUGCCACUU
rnacentral:rRNA from 4 species